rnacentral:rRNA from 1 species
GACGAACGCUGGCGGCGUGCUUAACACAUGCAAGUCGAACGGUGAAAGGGAGCUUGCUCCCUGGAUCAGUGGCGAACGGGUGAGUAACACGUGGGCAACCUGCCCCAGACUUCGGGAUAACGCUUCGAAAGAGGUGCUAAUACCGGAUACGAACUCCUUGGGCAUCCUUGGAGUUGGAAAGUUUUUCGGUCUGGGAUGGGCCCGCGGCCUAUCAGCUUGUUGGUGAGGUAACGGCUCAUCAAGGCGACGACGGGUAGCCGGCCUGAGAGGGCGACCGGCCACACUGGGACUGAGACACGGCCCAGACUCCUACGGGAGGCAGCAGUGGGGAAUAUUGCGCAAUGGGCGAAAGCCUGACGCAGCAACGCCGCGUGUGUGAUGAAGGUCUUCGGAUUGUAAAGCACUUUCGACCGGGACGAAAACCCGCUGGCCAAUAUCCAGCGGCUUGACGGUACCGGGAGAAGAAGCACCGGCUAACUCUGUGCCAG